AAGCGCUUGCUGCCAGACUUAUUAACGGUGUUCCGCCGGUCUUCUGACCGGUCCACUCGCCGUGGAUAGGCCAACAUCAUCUGGUGCCGCCGGAGAAAGGUGUCGGGAAUGUAUUUCCCCCGGGAGUGUUAUAGCCCUUCACACAAUACGGCGCGCGUCGGGUGAGGUCCGCGCUUCGGCUAGGAUGUUGGCGUAAUGGUAGUAAGCGG
rnacentral:rRNA from 1 species